ACGCUCGACACCUACGGGAGGCAGCAGUGGGGAAUAUUGCACAAUGGGGGAAACCCUGAUGCAGCGACGCCGCGUGAGCGAAGAAGUAUUUCGGUAUGUAAAGCUCUAUCAGCAGGGAAGAAGAAAGACGGUACCUGACUAAGAACGCCCGGCUAACUACGUGCCACAGCCGCGGUAAUCUGAGCGGGNUGGCAAGGC
rnacentral:rRNA from 1 species